GGUAAUGCCGGUGCGGCGGCCGCGGGAAUACGGAGGGGGGAAGCGGUAAUCGGAAGAACUGGGCGGAAAGGGGGUGGAGGCGGGGGGAUAAGGCAGAAGGGAAAUCCAAGAGAUGAAAUAUUGAACGUCGUUUGAAACUGGAUACCGAGAAUGUGGGAGAGGCAGAUGGAAGUUCUGGUGUAGGGGGAAAAUCCGUAGAGAUCAGAAGGAAUACCGAUUGCGAAGGCGAUCUGCUGGAACAUUAUUGACGCUGAGACGCGAAAGCGUGGGGAGCAAACAGGAUUAGAUACCCGAGUAGUC
rnacentral:rRNA from 1 species